GCUCGGAUAGUGUAGUGGUUAUCACGCGAUGCUCACAUGGCUUUGUGCCUCUGUACCAUCGAGGUCCCUGGAUCGAUCCCAGGUCCGAGCA